GUAGGUGAACCUGCGGAAGGAUCAUUAUCAAUUCAUGAGGAUCUUUUUGGGUAGGAUGUUUGUGGGUGGCAUGGGUGUUGGGAAUUGGGAGGGGGAAGGGAUCUCCUCUCUCUACUCAUUUCAUGCAUUUUUUGCCACUCAUGACAAACUAUACAAAUAGAAUCCUCAAAAUCCACCUCACACCUUUUGUGCACUUGUACAAUGUUCGUUCUUUUUUCUUUGGCAGGGUUUGUGGAAUGGUGGGGGGAAA
rnacentral:misc_RNA from 1 species